GUAAGUGUAAGACUUUCUUGAGUUACCCGCGAUGAGUAUCUCAAAAAUUGUUACAUUUCAG
rnacentral:pre_miRNA from 1 species